UAGUUAAAACUGCAUCGCCUGUCAAUGCACGGUUGUCUUCAUAGGUCGGAGGCUCAGAGUUGGCACAGUUUAGACAAGAGAACACUUUAGGGGAACUACAUGCAGAUAAAAUGUCACUGGACCCGUCGGGUCUGCGGUCUAUUUUUCAGGCUAGAGACCAUGUUGCGGAGCCUUCGGUGGGCAAGUGGUCAUUUGAUUGAUGAAGAGAUGGCCAGCAAUCUAAUUGCUGUUGCAGAGGAGUUCCUACAAGAGGCAAAUGACAUCCAACAACGGGAACCUUACGAAAAUGCCAAGUUGUUAUAUUUAUAUCAUUUUUUUUGUGUCCUGUCAAGCGCCUUUGGAGGGGAGGCGGUAUCACAUCACCAAGGAGCAGCUUGAGUUCCUCAUAGAUUGUCAUAUGACCAUCAGACAAAUGGCAGAUGUUCUCAAUGUGUCGCACUCUGGUCAAGUUGCGCAUGAGGUGUAGGAUUGUUAUCCAUGGUGCUGUGGAUGGUUACAGCAGACUUGUUGUGUUUCUGAAGGCCUCUGACAACAACAGGACCGCCACAGUCAUGGAGUCAUUCGAAGCAGCCAUCACCAGCUACGGAACACCAUCCCAGGUGAGAUGUGACCGGGUGGUGAAAACAACCGCAUCUGUGCCUUCAUGGAGCAGUUCAGGGGUGGUGAGAGGGGAAGUGCCCUCAGAGGAAGGAGCACUCACAACCAGAGGAUAGAGCGGCUGUGGGGGGACGUCUGGCAUGGAGUCUCCAACGUUUACCAUGACCUGUUCACCUUCUUGGAGACGGAGCAGAGCAUCGACAUCAACAAUGAGGUGCACCUGUGGGCACUGCACUUUGCGUUCCUGCCACGGGUGAACAGAGAUCUUGCUGUGUUUGCCAGUCAGUGGAACCACCAUGGGCUGAGAACUGAACAACGGUAGUUGUUCGUCUCGGGUUCCCUGGCAAUGCAGAGGGCCAAUCUGACAGCAGUAAGGGAUUUGUUUGCCCCAAAUUCAGCCACCAUCAGCUCCUCCAACCACCACCUCAGCUCCUCCAACCACCACCUCAGCUCCUCCAACCACUGGCGCCACAGCUCUUUAUUGGUCGUAAUGGGUGAUUGUGCCACAAAUCCAGUUCACCAUCAUCACACACAGAUGGAACUGUUGCGGACAAUAAUUCCAUUGGAAGGCCCCAGAGGCAGCCU